UACAGAGGUCUCGAGCGUUGUUCGGAUUCAUUGGGCGUAAAGGGUGCGUAGGCGGCGGGGCAAGUCUGAUGUGAAAUCCCGGGGCUCAACCCCGGAACUGCAUUGGAUACUGCCUUGCUAGAGUACUGGAGAGGAGACUGGAAUUUACGGUGUAGCAGUGAAAUGCGUAGAGAUCGUAAGGAAGACCAAUGGCGAAGGCAAGUCUCUGGACAGUUACUGACGCUGAGGCACGAAAGCGUGGGGAGCAAAAGGG
rnacentral:rRNA from 1 species